rnacentral:lncRNA from 1 species
UGGCACUUAGUUAAAUUAACUUCACUUUUAAGUUCUUAUGAGAUAAAUAUGAAAGGCUUUUUCGUUCUUUGACUGUUGCUGAUAGUUUAGGUUUCUCUUUUCCUAAUAGUUUUAAUGGAGACUUUCUCCCAUUUUACCCCCCACACCCCUACCAAAAAAACCAAAAAAGAAAAAAAAAUGAAGGCUUUGAAUUUCAUUAAUUUGUCCAGGUGACUGGUAAGUCUAUUGUUUGAUUUGCUUAUUAUUUGAUAUGCCAGAUUUUUUUUCUUUUUCUUUCUUUUAAAAGCCUGUAACAGCAAACUUCAUCCAACAUCUGUAAGUCUGUUAAAAUUUGUUCAUAUCACACUUUCUUGUCAACUAAGGGC